GUGAAUCAUCAAAUCUUUGAACGCAAAUUGCACUUUCUGGUAUUCCGGAGAGUAUGCCUGUUUGAGGGUCAGUUUAAUUAAAAUUCGUUUUGGUGCUUCUCUUUGUUGUUACGCGUCGGAAUUGAGUUGUCUUACCUUCGGUUAAGUGACUUUAAAUUUUGCAUUGUUUUCGUUCGUAUUUAUUUAUCUGACUUACGUUUGAUUUGUCAUAUACUUUAUUAGGUGCGGUCAUCCUCAUGAUUCGCGCCUAUAAUUUUUCAUUAAAUGACCUUAAAUCAGGUUGGAAUACCCCCCGAACUUU
rnacentral:misc_RNA from 1 species